CACAGCAUUCUGACUGAGAUGUAGCAUUCGCUGUACAUCUAUGCAAAGGACUUUGGAGGAGGGAAGGGACACUGUAUGGAGAAGGGAAAAAAAGAGAAAACCUUGGCAAGCAUAAGUGAGCGCUCGUGGACUCACAGUGCCAAGGAGACGUUAUUUAUGUUUGGAUGUCAGCACUUGGUUCAGGUUGGCACAGCUUGUGGGCUGCACUCUUUGGCUUCAUCCUGCUGUCUCCUCCAUGCCCGUGCUGGGCGCUUGCCUUGCGCCCUGGCUCUGCUCUCUGUCCUGUGGAGGGUGAACGAGGCCUGCUGUGCUCCCAUUAACCCCCCAAAAUCAUGCUCCGCUCCUCAAUUAUGAACUAACUUCAGAAGUAUGAACCGCACGCUCAGCGAAGUUGGAGAAGUUGCUCGGCCGCGACGUCACUCAAAGGCUAUGCAUGAGUCAUGCUCCUUUACUUCUUGCGCUCACGGGCCUGCUUCUUUCUCCGCUUCCUCCUGUGCUGUGUGCUCAGGCGGCUGCCAGAGCUAAAACUGUACUCAGUCCCAUCGCAUAAUGCUCUCAGGGUCAAGCGGACACAUCUGUUAUCAGUUGAGGAUGAAGCAAAAAAAGGAAUACCGGCAUUUUUUUUUUAACAAGAUCCUUUUCACGCUCCAUCCUUACCCAUCCAUGUUCUUAUUUCACUUCAAAACACAGAACUGAGACUUCUUUUUUUUAACUUGGCUCUCUAUGCGUAUAAUUAUAGGGAGUAUAUAUUUAUGUGUCGUAGGCAAGCUCAGGGCCUUAAAAGGAAGAAAGGGCCUUUUCCUGGGGCCAUCAGAGCUGUAGUCUGUGGAGGCUCAAGCAAGGGUCCUGUGCUUGCCUGGGACUCUUCAUCACAGAGCGGAUGGCGGAUGGAGUUGAAGGAGGAGAGAGCAGCGCAGGCCUGGCAGCCUCAACAGGGCCAGAUAACAGCUGAUACUGGGACUAAUUUGGUAAUGUGCAGGACGGAGUUUGGAGCUGCUGUAGGUCAAAGAGGAGACUGGCUGGGCGAGCGUUAAGCUGGUCAGGUGCUGUGCCACCAGUGAUCAUUAGGGUUACAGCUGCUCGGGCCAGAUUGUCUGCUGCCUGUGCCGGGCGAGAUGUCUCACCCUGGGAAAAAGAGCGAGCAUCUGUCUGUCCUUCCCCGUAGACACGAACCUCCUACCAGCCUGUCCAACUCAACCCGACUGGUAACAAGGAACUGCACCUUCAACCAGUGAUAAAGUCAAACAGUGCACUGCAGUUUGUCCAAAGGAGGGUGGAGGUGUCCUGGAUGGCCUACUCCUCAUUGGGGGCACAUAGGAGCACAAAUGUGGCAGUAUCCUCAUGCCUCGUGACCAUCAAUUGACAGCGCUGUUUGCAUGCAUCUCUCAAAUCCAUGAUGAUAGAGGCUGAAGGGUUCGAGUUUUAUUGGAAAAUCUGUCUUUAGAAGCCAAACCUCAAAAAGCUUCUGUGCUCCAGAGUGAUGAGAACAUAAAAACAUACAUUGUGGAAAUAAACAUGCAUGAACUGGACCUUUAGCUUCAUGGCAUAAAUAACAUCUCAUAACCAGUUCAUCCUUCUCAAAUCUAGAAUUGCACAUCUACAAAGUAAAUUGAGUACAACCCCUUGUCUUCAACCAUGGGGUCUACAAUUUUGAUUGUGUCUCUGUCCAAGAAGGAAUUAACUUCUUGGGACAGAGUGGUAAACUUGGUCGGAUCUGAUAUCCAUGAGGUUCUAAGCACAGUGGAAGUAAAGUUAGUACCCCUGCAAUAUUGUCCUUAGGAUCCACUGGUGUAGUCACUGCUUAAUGAUCAGUGUUUUAAGCUGGGAAUGGAUUUGCACUGUGGGACACCAUGGGGAAUCAGCAAGUAUGUACCAGUUCAAGUAUGCAUGUUAGUGGAGACCAUUUAACUUUGCAAGCUUAGUGGUCAAGAGUACAGUACGAGGACCGGAAGGAGGACCAGUCAACCACGCUAGUGCCAUGUAUUCACAAGCCUGCAGAUCACCAGGUCAUGAUGGUCAAUGUGAAAAUCUCAGAGGGUGAGCGUCAUACUGAGCAAAAGAAUGUAGCUAACUCAUAGCCAGAACAAGAGUGAUAGAUGACAAGGCUAGCAAGCUAACAAGGGAACUCAAUCUAGUAGCCCUCACCACAGCCAUAAAGAGAUGAAAGGAGAUGACAGGAGAUGAUGGGAUACCUGUAGCUCCAACCAUAGUCAUAGGCUGUUACGCCAAGAGCAACAAGGUGCAUAUGAGAUCUAACGUACAAGGCAAGAAGAAGAAAGGGAGACGACAACAUGGGUGGAAAAGGUACUGACAAAUUAUACAUUUUGGCUGGAUACUUCUACUUACGUGAAAGUAUAGAUAAUGCCAAAAAAAUACUCAUGUGAAAGCUAAACUGUUGUUAGUAAAUGUAUUUUACUCACAAAAUUAUUUAAUGUUGUUUUAUGUGAAAAGUAAAUUUCUUUAUCUAUAUCUGUGAGAAGAUUUUUGCUUUAAAGCAGCAAUGCUGUUUUGCCAGAAAAUAUCAUUUAUUGUCUGUAGGUUUGUUGGUCAUAUGCAUGAACCCUACAAAGUCUGCUUAUGAAUUAAUCAGAAGUAAAAUAUUACAUAUAUUAAUAACCAACAUUUACCAUUAGCUAACAUAACUGCCUAGCCAGUUUAUGUUAGCUAUUGUAAUUUAUGCUAGUCUAACAUGGCAUUAGCAAAGAAAACAGCCUAACCUAGUUAAAUAUAGCCAGUUAACAUUACCAAAUUAGCAAAAUUUACCUCAACAUGCUUUUUCAAAUAUGAUGGUGUUCAUGGAGUUGUAUGGAGGCAAAUGAGACACCUUAAUUCUUAGGAGUCUUUGCUUGCUCCAAGAUACUGAAACAUUUUAUUGAGGUAGGGCCGGGCAGUGUUGCAGCUUAGCCAUAUUAAAAAUAUACACAGAUAGCUAUAGUGCUAAUUGUAUUGUGUAUCACGAGAAGGUCAUCACAGAAGGCAAAUUCUUCCUAGUUUUUUACAUUGAUGAACUUGAUUUGAUGCUAAACUGAAAAGAUUGGAUAAACUGAGCCCAUUUGAUAUAUUGCAUACAGUGAUUGGCUGGAUGAGAGAAAAACAGACCUUAAAGAAUUGUAAUGAGUAGUUUGAAGGUUUAAAUAAAAAAAAUGUAAGGAGUACAUUUUUAAAAGAAAAAGUCUUUUUUUUUAAUGUAAUUAAUAGAGAUUGCACCGAUCUGAUUCUCAGUAUCAGUAUCAGAAUGAUAACAGGAAAAAAAAGGUGGAUUGGAUGUCAGAAAAAACAUAUCAGAUUGAUGUCUAGGGUUAGUAACAAAUGGCAAAGAUUGGAACUGGAUUUGGGAAAGAAAUUUAUCUUUGGAACUUAUGUUUACAUAUAAAGAGACAGCUACUUCCUUUGUUAUGAUUUAUUUUAUUAUCUUUAUACUCUGUAUGUUAUUUACUAUAUUUACAAUAUAAUUGAUUUUUUAUGUGAAAUAGUUUACCUGCAAGUGCUUCAGUUAAAAAAAACAGCUUAGUAGUUUUUAAAGAAAACAAUAUAAUGGAUGGGUAUCGAUAUCGGGUGAUACUAAAGGUUUCAGCAUUGGUAUUGGUAUUGGAAAAAUAUAAAGUGGUAUUGUAUCUAGUAAAUAUUAUACACGUAUAGAAAAAAAGUACAAUCACUCAAGUAUUUUCCAACCCUGGAAUAUAGUUAUUUGACUAAUAAAAGUUUUUUUUUUUUAAUACUACAGUCAUUUUGUGACUUUGUUUAAUGUGCACAAGAAAGCAUCCAGUAAAAAUUCGCUGCCCCUAGUGGUUAGGAGGGGUCAAAUAGAACCUAGGGAUAUCUCAAAAAGUUAUCACAGUGUGAUGGAUUGAUAACUCUAGUCGUAGUUGAAAUAAGAAUGAGCUGUAAAUGCCCCAGGGUUAGUAGAAAUACACUUACAUCUUAGAGGAGGGACAUGAAUCGAAUAGGUUAUGUUGUGUACUGCUCUCUCUGGAAUGGGCAUUGCUUGUGUGUUGCAUCAGCCUUUGCAAGUUCGUUUCCUAAACUGGUUCUUGCAUAUAAAAACGCGGCUUCUGAAAGGUUGGUAUUGUGCUGGAUUUCCUCUUGAUGAAAUUAUGCAUGAACUUGUGUUGUUUGCUUAGUAGUUCAGACAAGUAAUACAUUUGAUUUCAUAAACAUGUUAUGCAGAUCCAGUCCUACUUUUAAAUUUGUAAGCUAUUUGCUGCAAUUACAUGAUUGUUUUGGAAAUGGCGAAACAGUUGCGUUGCCUUACUGUGCAAUCACCCUCUGAAAGAUUUUGAAAGAAAUUAAAGUUUCACCACAGUUGACUGUACAUAAGCGUUUCAUGUCAGCACUCAAGUUGAAUGCAUACAGCAAUGUGGGAAUGUAACAUCAGUGUGACUAAACUAGCACUCCAUGCAAGAUAAUGAUGGUUUCUUGCAGUAACUAUGUUAACACCUGUGCUCUGCAGUGAGCAUGCAGCUGCAGCCUCAGUUGCGGUCAUUCUGAACUGAUGCAAUGCAAACUGUAGAGUGGAUCUGCAUCAUCAAGAUUGGCUUCCAGUAGCAUGUCUGAGUCAUUUCUGCUUGAAUCCUGGUUUCUCACUGCCUUAAAAGCUUAUAAUGAAUCACACUGUUUUACAUGGGUAGUGUACCGCAGCUGAAACACAGAGAUGUAGACUCUCAUUGAAUAUGUUUUUUGGUCUGUGUGUUUUGCUCUAUAGCCUUUGCAAAAAUAGUACCUACUAGUAGUGUAUGUGGAAGGCUGAUCCAUGCUGCCAUUUUCUGAUUUCUCAAUAUCAAAUUAAUAAUCACUCGAAUGAUAAAUCAGCGAUCAAAAUAUCACUUGGCACAUAUAGCCAAGUUGAUUGAGUAGGUCUACACCCUAUUAAUUUCAUUUCAUUUCAUUUCAUGAUUCUGGAGUGUUUCUUAAUCCUCCACCCCAAUUAUUCUUGGCCAUAUUUUGAAUGUGCAGCUCCAGAGAGACACAGCUGGGGAUCUUGUACAUGCAGCACUAAUACCCUGACAUAGUAGAUGAUAGUACUUUCCAAAGCCAAAAAGAAAUAAUAAACUAAAAACAGCUUCAAUUUUAUCUGUUUGGUAGACCUCACUAUUAGCUGAACACAGACACCAUAAACCAGACACAUCUCUUUGCUUAAAGUAAGCCAUUUAAUUUGUUGUUUAUUUGGACAUAUGAGUUGAGUUUGACCUUGUGAAAUAAAAUUACUGCAUGAAUAACAGCCCAAAUCUAGCUAAAUCUAUUUAAAUUGACUGACAUGCUAAA